rnacentral:rRNA from 1 species
GUACACGCUGUGACUAGCAUAUCAAUAAGCGGAGGAAAAGAAACUAACAAGGAUUCCCUCAGUAACGGCGAGUGAAGCGGGAAGAGCUCAAAUUUGAAAUCUUGAAAGGUUCACCUUUCACGAAUUGUAGUUUAAAGAAGUGUUUUCUGUUGACGAUCUGUAAUAUAAGUUCUUUGGAAUAGGACAUCACAGAGGGUGAGAAUCCCGUCUAUGACUUGCUACUUUGUAACUUUGUGAUACACUUUCAAAGAGUCGGGAUUGUUUGGGAAUGCAGUCCAAAACUGGGAGGUAAAUUUCAUUCUAAGCUAAAUAUUGGCGAGAGACCGAUAGCGAACAAGUACCGUGAGGGAAAGAUGAAAAGAACUUUGAAAAGAGAGUUAAAUAGUACGUGAAAUUGUCAAAAGGGAAGCGUUUGACACCAGUGUUGUUUUCUGAAAAUCAACCUCUUAAGAACUGUUAUGCUAAUGUUGUUUAGACCUAUCAGCUAUCUUGCAUGUUCUAUUGUUUGCAGUGGUGCACUUUUCAGUUUACAGGUCAACAUCAGUUUUUUUUACCGUAAAAAAGUUAAAGAAAGGUAGCUCAUGGCUCCGGUCGUGAGUGUUAUAGUCUUUUUCCUAUGCGGUAGGAGAGACUGAGGUCUGCAGUGUAGGCUAUUUGGCUAGAUACUCAGGUGCUAUGUGAUACCAUUUCAUAAACAACUUGUUGAUUAUGUUUUGUCUAUUGCAUACUCGCUUGUACUAUCAUACCUACGCUUAGGAUGUUGACGCAUGAGAUAUACGC